ACUGAGGCCCAGGCAGAUUAAAGUAAGGCUAUAGAUUUGGACCUGGAAGGCACUGCAGAAGCCCGGAGUUUGCCCCAGUUGACAUCAGCGUCUCCCUCUCUGCCUACCGCCCAUCCAUGCAGAGGCAUCUGCUGCCCCCCCUCGGCGGCACAUGGUGCUCACUUCUUUGGGUGCCUGGCUCUUGGUUUCACUGCUUCUGGCUGUUUCACCCACAGUGAAUGCCAUCUCCCCAAUCAGAGUGAAAACUCCCUGAGGUCCGGCCGCCCCAGCACCUGGCAUGGGGGAGUCCGGGCACCUACAGAGCCUUGUAGAAGAAGGGAAGGUCAGGAUUAUUCUUGCUCAAGGCUCCCUGCACCCUGGCCCAAGGUUACCAGGGCACCGCUGCUCAGCAGAAUCAUGAAGAUGAUGAAGGUCUCGAACCAGCUGUG